GACAAAAAACACUCUUCAUCCAGUAGGGGACUCGGGAGAUGUCAAGGCUCUUCCUCAAGAAGCUUGAAGGCUAGCUGGGGAGAGAGACGUGCAAACAAAAACAGCACAAGACACAGUGUAGAAAGUAUCAUAAUGGGAACGUGUAUAGAGUACUCAGAGGAGGAAGGAGGAGUUUCCCAGAGAAGACGCUUUUUGAACUAGGUCCUGAAGGCAUUGAGCAGCCCUAGGAAUUCCGGGUGGGACACAGGCUCGACCUCUUAUGGAAAGCCCCUGAGGACAACCAUCUGGCUGAACUCUUCUCCCUCUACCACCUAGAAAAAAAAUCCCAUCUACAACCUGCUUCGAAUGCCUGGCAGAACUGCCUCCCAAACCCUCACCCUCCAGCCUCCACCUUGCCAAUCUGGUUUGGCUCAUCACUGAUUGGGGUCCUAAACUCCAUUCUGAUGAUUGCUAAUGCAAAAUGCAUUACCUUGGUGUUGAAGUUAGCACCAAACAGGUGCUUUCAGGGAUGCAGGUUAUGCCAUAAACUUUGGUAAAUUCCCCACAAGCAUUUGGGCUCAUGGAAGGCAUACAAUAAAAGGCUUCAUAGCAGGUGUUAAAAAUGAGCCUUCAUCUCGGGGGCUCAGGUCUGCCCAUGCUGAUUAAAAUUCUACAACAUUCACCAUUUUCCUUAGCAUUGCUCAGGGGAUUAGGCGAUCAGUCAUAUCCUACCAGCCACAACUUUUAAAAAAUAAACUUGGGAAUAAAGUCACAAGAGGAAAUGAGGACUAUUUGGAAAUUUGAGAACCCACAUGUUCUCUAUGAUAUUUUUAUUUUCUUUAUUUUAUUUUUUUUUUCCUGAGGAAGAAUUUCAAAGUUUCAACCUGUUUCAAUGCUAGCCCAUCUGGCUGCCUUAUUAAUGAAAACAGCAGCAUCCACUAAUGCUAUCAUGUGAGGCAACAGUACUUUCCAAAAAAUUACAGAAAGAAGUUUGGGAUUUGAUGUACCAUAUUUUAUCUUUGAAAAAAUAAAUCCCAACUAGAGAGUGCUUGAGAGAGAGUGUGUGCAUAGAAAUAUUUGAUGAGUCACGCCUGGUGUUGUAGGUCUAUUCCAGUGUGUGGGGUUUCCAGAACCAUUACAUAAGUGUUAGCAUGGCCAGGAACUUUUGAUAUUUGUGGUAGCUUAAUAGAGUUCUUUUUAUCAUUGAAAAUACCCUAAUUGUUGUUUCCUUAAAUUUAAAAUGCAUAAAACUGGUGAAGCAGUAUAAAUUGAUUAUGAGAUGUUUCUAUCAAGUAUGCUCUGUUGGCAGAGAAACUGAUGGAAAUGUAUUUAAAAUGAAAUACAGGUGAUUGAGCUGUAACAAAUGCAAGGAUCUAAUCAUCCAGCAAAAAUUGGCUGAGAGCAUAAAUUUUUAGUGAGCUUUCUCUUUUUCUUCUAUCAUCCAUCAAGAUUUCCUUUACAACCUGUGUGCCCAUACAUGUUGUUCACCUGGCUAACCUUACAAAUGGGAAUUGAGUAACAUGAUUUUGAAAAUUCUGGGGUUACAAAAGCUACUAGAACAUCUGGGCACCUGAUUUUUAUUUUUCAGAUGAUUGCCCAGGAAAGAAGGUGAUAUUCCAAGCACCAUUAAUAUGUUUGCUAAAAUAUUAGUUACCUGUUGCCGAUUCAUCUUUUCUAUCUCAAAAGUAAGAGAUGGUUGAGGGGCUUUCUAGGGAGGAUGGAGCCAUUGGUGCCUGUAGGUGUCUUACACAACUUUCCUACCAGCUUGUUUUCCUGCAGAUAGGAGGAUGCGGUGUUAGGUGUUAAGGUAUUUAUUGGUUCCAAAGGCAGAGUGCAAAGGACAAACAGGCGGAGUGGGCUCUGACUCACCGAAGCUGCUCUCUACUUGUGCCUUUGUACUUUUGAGUGGAGAGCAUAGUUCACCAAGUCCAACUCUGCACACCCAAGUUCUGUAGGAUUCUUUCUGCAUGACCACAAGUAACUGAAAGCCUUUUCUCUGUAGAGGAACUGAUAGUGCUGAGCAGUCUGGAAAUCCUUAUAGAGAAGGUAUGGUGGGACGGUGUGAGCUGGAUGGGCUGUGAUCACCUAGAUGAUAAUGUAAAUAGGAUCACCAAUAUAGUCAGUAUCCUUGUGACACACAGUCAUCAUUAGAGUUUGCUUGUUGAUGUUGGAGUACUGCAUGCUACCCAGGACUAUUUUCAAGAAUCUAUACUUGAACAUUGUUCCCCUGGGCCCUAGGAGACAUGAUGGAAAGAGGAAUUUUGUGUCCCUGCCAGGUUUCCUAGAUAAUAGAGAUUAUUCUCUAGGAGGAAGUGAUGCAUUCAUCCCAGGGCUGAGAAAGUGGAGGUGGGGGUAGAGUAAGACAGCCUUGACAAAUAAGAAAAGGCUAACAAAACCAAUGGCCAAGUUAGAACAUACCCUCUGCACCACUGGAAAGGAGCUAAAUGGAGGCCUUCCCCUGCCCCCCCCCCCCACAUACACACACACACACACACAUAUACUUUGUUUCACUGAAAAACUCCGCAUCUUCCACUUCUCUAUUCUUGGCUUUCCAUACCCAGUAGUCACAAGUCUGACCAGCUCUAUCACUUCUGAUUCUGGAAUCUAUCCCUUCUCCAACACAACAGUGAGUUCAGUCUGUUACCAUCUUUCACUUACAAUACUGCUGCAGCCCUCCUAACUGGACUGCUCACUUCUCUUGCCCACAACACAUCUUUCACCAAGGGGAUCUUUCAUGUCUUUCCACUGUUUAACACACUUAACUUUCCAGGUCUUCAGGAAAAAUUCCAGAUUACUUAGCAUGCUACAUCAAACCCUUUAUGAUCUGACUUUCACCCACCUUUGUAGUUGCUUAUUCCAGCCCUUUUGCUCAUGCUGUUCCCUCUGCCUAGAGUGUACUUUCUCCCCUUCUUCACCCAGUAAAUAGAACUGAGCCCUGCGAGAUAGUUCAAAAGCCACCUCUUCUGAGAAGUCUUCCCUGAUUACUCCAAGGAGAUUCCACCAUUGCCUCCUCCUGAUGCAUUAUUUAUAUUUUUAUUAUAUCACUUAUCAUACCAAUAUAAUUAUUUUUCUGUGUCAUUUCUCUUCUUCUCCAUUCUCUCUGCUCAACUCCUAAUGAAUUAAUGAUCUCCUUGAGGGUAGUAGGGGUUAUGUUCUAUUUAUUUUUGUAUCCUCCAGUUGCUAGAACAGUAUCCGGUUAGUGUUUGUUCAGUGAAUAAAUUAAGGAAUGAGGGAAUGAAUGAAGGCCUGGGUGAAUAAAUGAAGAAAUGAUGGAAUGAAUGAGAAAAUACAUUGAGCAAAAUUUCUUUAAUGGGCUGGUCUUUGAAAGAGCCGUGUGACACCAGUGCCGCCACUAGAGAUCUUCAGGGUCAACAGUUACAGACUGCUUCUAGAGUCGGGGGAAGAGAGGUUGGCCACUCAGACAUGGAAAUGAUCUGAGGAUGGGAAAGAGACAGCUGGAGCCCUAGGAGAGGACAUGUAGAGGACUGUGGUAUUGUUUUUUGUUGUAAGCUUUCUCAGCCACCUCUUCCCACAAAUUCACUGCCUUCCCCACUCGCAGCAAUGGGCACGUGCCCCAUGCCUGGCUAGUCAUGGUUCCCUAUUCCCCUGGGCAUGGUGAUUGGGCUAGUCUGGGCAUGUGACAAAGCUGUGCCAAUAAGAUCCAUCCUCAGGAUUUGCUGAUUUGGGGGCUAGACUGCUGAUGGGGAAAUGUUUUUGCCUCCAAAGAUAUGGAGAAAAACUGGGGUUUCCCACUUAGUUGAGAAUUCAGUCUGUGGUUGAAGAGAAUGAAACCAAGCAUGGGCAAGCAGCAAUGCAAAGGGGGUGGAAAGUCCUGUCAGAGUGGGGUUCUCAUUCCAGUUUCUGCUAUCCAUCCUUCAAUUCUGUUAGCCAGUCCACUGUCUUUCCCAGUUGUGUAAGAGCUAAGUCCCCUUUAUUUUGCUUGAACUCAAUUUGAGUUGGGUUUACAUCCCUUGGAACUGAAGGAAUUCUGACUAAUGUAGAAAUUUUGGAGCUCCAGAGUAGUGUACCAUGAGUCUCAGCACUGGGAGGCUUGGAAGUACCCAAACCCAAGGCACAAGAAACCAUAAGAAGAAGUCCUUUGGGAUGGCCAUAAAAUUGGACCACCUUACAGACUUGCUAAUUGGGUAGUAAAAAAAAAAAAAAAGCCUCUGCUUGGAGGGCUUUACUUGGCCCUCAUGGGUGUUAGUCACUUCAAGGAGGAGUAAAAUUUCUGUCACUUUCUUCUUCUUGUCUUCCCUCCCUUCCUCUCUUUUCUUCUCUCUCAGAACAAAAUGGAAGAGAAGGAACUAGUAUUUAUUGAACACUCAUUACAUGCUUGACAUUAGAUGAGGUGUUUUCAUGAACAUUGUCACAUUUUAAUUCUCAUAACUUAUCUGCAUUGAAGUGUAGAACCCCAGAAUUUAAGGAUGAAGAAACUAAAGUUCAGAGAGGUUUAGUAACUUGCUUAAAAAAAAUUGCAUAAUCCCCAGAACUUGGUGGUGUAGAGUAGAGUGAGGGAAAUUCUAUGAAGACGGAUAUCAAAGUUCAGAUUUUCAGUGCAGGUAUACAUGGAAAAAGAAUCACAUUGUAGCUUGCACAAAAAAUUUCAUAAUGAAUGUCAGUGCUUUGUAUAUCUACCAGUGUACUCCUUGUGGCUAAAGAGAGUAACUAAUUAACUCGUUCUGGGAGUUCUGGGGUUGUAGCCUCAAAUUCAGACUUUAAAGUCUCCUAUGUAUCUUAAAACACAUAGAUUUUGCAUUCAACUCCCUGAGUUCGUUUUCAUGUAAAAAUAAUUUGCCCCAAAUUUAUUUUAUGCAAACUUGAUAUUCAGGAAGAUGAUCAUAUUUAUUCUGUGGCUUCCAGUGCAUUCAAGCACUCUGCUCUGUAUCCCUUGAAAAGCAUGAACAUUAUCAAUCAGAAUCCUCUCUGAACCAGAGAUGCCACAUACAGAAGACUUUGCACCAUCACUUUAUAGAUGUAGAGGGAGAAAUUGAAGACAUAGACUCUGUGUGCCCAAAGAUUCAUGUACAUAUGAAUAAUCACCUUUGUAUAUACAACCAAUAGGAAACAUUAAAUUAACUGGGUUUUGUUGUCUAGUGAAGGCCCCUAUUAGUCAAUAUAUAUGGACUUCAAGUGUGAGGGAAUCCAAGCAAACAUUCUGUUCUAAAGAAGAGAUGGCUGAUCUGGCUAGUGAGGUUUCUUUGCAUGCAAGCAACUGACUAACAUAGUGACAUGGGAAUUUAUGGGAAGGGUUUCUGUCAGCUCUUAGGAUGGACCAGAAGACUCAGAAAUUGAUAGAAACCAGGGUGGUGGGGAUGCAGCAACUGCAGCAGCAAUUUGACAGUAUCAUGUCUUCAAGGCCCUGCCCCAGAACAAAUAAUCUUCUGUCAUUUCCCCAUCUUUCUGUCCUCUGUUCAAGACUUUGUUUUGUAGGGUGAACAUUGUUCCAGCUUGGGUCAGGUGGCUGCCUAUUGGUGAAUGGAGGGCUGGGGGCACCUAGACUUAAUAGUCCCACCAGACACUGAGGGGAGAGGUAAUCCUUUAAAAGAAAAUCAAGGUGGAGUGGUUACUGGGUCAUCAAAAAUCAGCAUGUGCCCAUGAUAUGUUGACUAUAGGAUGAGUACGUAAGUGUAGUGGACAAUAUAUAUUAUCCCAUUGCACUCCAAGAGCUUGUUGACUUAUCUCUCUCCAUUCAAUAGACAUUGAGGUCCUUGAAGGGAGAACCAUGUCUUAUUUAUCUUUGUAUGCCUGGCUUCCCAAAGACACUCAAUGAAUUUCAUUGCAUGAAAGAAUGAAUCAAUGUCUCUUUCAAUGAAAGCUUUGUUCAGGCUAUUUUAUAAGCUGGGCCCCCAGCCCCAGCCUUCGUUGAUCCUUCUCCCUGAUCCAGAAGCAUCAACACUAAACUCAGCAGCAGACAGCCCUCCCACCCUCUGGGUGCUCCUGAAAGGAAAGAGAAGGAGCCAAAGGACCACUUUUCAGAUACAAGUCUUUCUGCUUCCAUUCUUCUAUCUCUCCUAGCUCUGGUUUGAUCCUCAGGGACUCCUAAUGUGCAUUUGGUCCUGGAGUAUUUAGUAGUUCUUGAUGAGCUAAUAUCUAACUGUCUUAUUUGAUAUAACAUAAUAGAAAGAUUGUUCUUUGGAAUCAGGCAGAUGUGGGUUCCAAUAUGAGUCCACCAGUUACUAGCUUUGUGACCCUGGAUACAUUUUUUAACAUCUCUGGGUCUCAGAUUACACAUGUCCAUUAAAGAUACUACAAGUCUCAAUGAAAUAAUAUAUGCUAAGACACCUGGCAUAAUGCUUGGCAUGUGAUGAUGACAGUGUCCAGUGAACCUCAGCUCCGUUCUGCUUUGGUGGCUUAGUGUGAUAGAGACAUGAUGGGAAUUUGCAGAACUGAAAGGAAAAAAGGCAAAAAAGCAGAAUGAAUAUAUUGAUUUGCUCUAACAUGAAUCAAAGUCAAUUUUUAACUUUUUACUGAACUAUAAAACAAGCCAAAGUUAUUUUUAAAAAAUGUAAUAAAUGAGUUUAAGAGAGAAACAAACCCAUAUAUUUUAUAAAACAACAACAGAAUUACAUGUUCCCCAAAUCAGAACCUGUACAGGCAUAACACUUAAAUGGAAGAGAUUUCUUCUCCAUUGUGUGGUGGUGGUUUUUUCACUCUAGGAUGCUGGAUGAAUUCAGAUGAAUUCCUGGGUGCAUUAUAGGCUGUUAGUUUGUACCACCUGAGAGGUCACUUAUUUGGAAACCCUGGGACAAAGUAGGUCAGGGAGCAGAGUCAAGAACCACCAAAAUGAGCAAGCUGUGGGGGUGGAGUGGGUAGGGGUAGGGAAGGGAUCUGACCAGUAACUUUUCCCUGCUUCUCUGGUAACUGCACCCUUAUAUUUUUGUCUCAUCAAUUUAAAAAUGUUACAUUAAUUACACAAUACAAUGUAAGAAAAAUAUUUAAGGAAGAACAGUUCUAGAAAAAAGGAAUUAAGGAAACACCAUUGGCUAUUUUUGAGUCCUUGUUUUCCCUUCACAUUUUAAAAAUCACGAAUAGAAAACUCAAGGUACUGCAGUGGAAAUAGAAUUUGAGUUGCUCUUAAAUUAAAUCAAACAUGUUGUCCUACGAGAACAGAAACCAACUGAACAGCUCAAAAGGAGGCAUGAUGCUCACCCCCCCCACCUCCAAUAUCACUCCUUUUACCAAUUUUUUCUUGUCUCCAAAAUUCUAAGCUGCUCACAUAUUACAGAUUGUUUCUGAGGAGAAUGAGCGUAUGCUAUUCUGGUGUGGAAAUGCCUUGCAUGCUAAUUCUUGGCUUGGGGCAAAGGAGAGAUAUGAGGUAGAACUGGAGGAUGGUGAGCUGAAAAUAGUAUAACCUCCACACCUCUCCCUAGCAGGCUGAGGAGAGAGCCUCGAUUCUUCUUGUGGGACCUCUUUUCCUCUCUGAGAAACAACCAUCAAUCUCGGUGUCUCCCCCUAUCCUGGCGAAUGGGAGAUUGGAUACAUGACUGAAACUAGGCUUCUCCGAUGCUCUUGACCCGGAAUUUCAAUGUAGAGAGAAGUGACACAAAAACUGAGAAUGGCUGGAAAUCAUUGAGCCUAGUGGCAACGGCCUAAGGAAACUGCAUUAUUCUAAAACCUGUAUCCCUGGAGCUGCUCUUGUACUUUAAUAAAGCAGAUUCUUCAGCCUCUUGUUCUGAUCUGUAAGCUGCUCUAUAUCGUUCCAAUAAAUUCAUUUGUUUGCUUACGA